rnacentral:lncRNA from 1 species
GUACUGCUAGCAACAUAUUGUCCCAUGUGGCAAACCUGAACGCCCCGUUGGUCACGAGCCGCGGACUCUCCACCAAGUCAUCGUCCACCUCGCGCCUCGGUCAGAUCUGCCGUUCCCGCCGGUCCGCCCGCCCGCCCGCGGCGGCGCCACGCAGCUCACGUCUCCACCCUUCUACAGCUCAUUCCCCUCCCCGGUCGCCGUCCCGGAUCUGACCCCUCCGCCAGGUCUACUCCGACGGCCGCCUCCCCCCACCCCCCCUCUUAAACN